CAGCAGCCGCGGGAAUACGAAGGGUGCAAGCGUUACUCGGAAUUACUGGGCGUAAAGCGUGCGUAGGUGGUGGUUUAAGUCCGUUGUGAAAGCCCUGGGCUCAACCUGGGAAUUGCAGUGGAUACUGGGUCACUAGAGUGUGGUAGAGGAUAGUGGAAUUUCCGGUGUAGCAGUGAAAUGCGUAGAGAUCGGAAGGAACAUCUGUGGCGAAGGCGACUAUCUGGGCCAACACUGACACUGAGGCACGAAAGCGUGGGGAGCAAACAGGAUUAGAACCCCUGUAGUCCCUGUCUCUUAUACA
rnacentral:rRNA from 1 species